AAAUUGAAGAGUUUGAUCAUGGCUCAGAUUGAACGCUGGCGGCAGGCCUAACACAUGCAAGUCGAACGGUAACAGGAAGCAGCUUGCUGCUUUGUUGACGAGUGGCGGACGGGUGAGUAAUGUCUGGGAAACUGCCUGAUGGAGGGGGAUAACUACUGGAAACGGUGGCUAAUACCGCAUAACGUCGCAAGACCAAAGAGGGGGACCUUCGGGCCUCUUGCCAUCA
rnacentral:rRNA from 1 species